CCUACGGGAGGCAGCAGUGAGGAAUAUUGGUCAAUGGACGAUAGUCUGAACCAGCCAAGUAGCGUGAAGGAUGACUGCCCUAUGGGUUGUAAACUUCUUUUAUAUGGGAAUAAAACGUUCCACGUGUGGGAUUUUGUAUGUACCAUAUGAAUAAGGAUCGGCUAACUCCGUGCCAGCAGCCGCGGUAAUACGGAGGAUCCGAGCGUUAUCCGGAUUUAUUGGGUUUAAAGGGAGCGUAGGUGGAUUGUUAAGUCAGUUGUGAAAGUUUGCGGCUCAACCGUAAAAUUGCAGUUGAAACUGGCAGUCUUGAGUACAGUAGAGGUGGGCGGAAUUCGUGGUGUAGCGGUGAAAUGCUUAGAUAUCACGAAGAACUCCGAUUGCGAAGGCAGUUCACUGGACUGCAACUGACACUGAGGCUCGAAAGUGUGGGUAUCAAACAGGAUUAGAUACCCGAGUAGUC
rnacentral:rRNA from 1 species